AGCCACACGCCUUGAUUAAGCGGGAGAGAUUAUCCCUGAAAUGGCAGAUCAGUGAACAUGGAGGCUCAGCAUUAGGUGCCAAAAUGCCAACUGGUGCUUGAGGCACAUGGUAGUGGUAGCUGGACCAGUGCGUUUACAGUCUUGCAUGGCCGGGACCCCCAGAACCUUUUCCCUUGGAAAUUAUUGGAUCCAUAAUUGAUCGAAGAUUAUCGUUCUUGGAUCCUAUCCCUCAAUUCUUUUUUUGCUCCCGUAGAGCGCGGCUCAAAAUGAGAAUCGUCCCGUUUUCGGUGUGCAAAUUAUCUUCCUACCGGGUUAGGCAGACAUUGGAUCAUUUGUCACAUUCAGCUUUGGAUGCAAAUGGCUAAAGGCGGCCCCGAAAGGUUGUGUCGAGCUUACCUCACCAUGCACUGGGAAUUCAAGCCGACGACGGAUUUGCCCAAUUUUUUUCCGCAGGCCAUCGAAAGCUCCGCUGAAUCGGAUCGCGCGGAGAGCGGGACAGAAUGAAAGUAACUUCCCUAAUGGAACGUCGGUAUGUUUGAUGUGUUUCAACUUUCAAGGUAAACACUUUCCAGAAAAAGUUAUGUUGGCUCAGGCGUCGUUCUUCUUCCUGCAUCUGUUUUCUGCAGCUGGUUGAAUCUCAAACGAAAUGAAUUAUUCCGAUUUGACAAGAAUACUAGUUAUCAAAGUCUCUUUACUGUUCA